AUAGAAAUAAAUAAGCCACUCCAAUUAUUUUUAUGAUGCUCUGAAGCGGGGAAUAGCACAUAACUGAUAAGAAUGGGGAUAAGUUGUCAACCCUAUUGCAGGCUCUUCCUUGAAUUCUUUCUCUCUCUCUGGCAGCUGGAAAGUGAACGCCCUCAGGAGGCUGGUGAAGAAGAUGAAGAGCUCAAUCUGUGUCACCUGCUCUUCCAGACACUCAUGAUCCCCUGCAGAAGAAAAAAGGGAAAGGGAGAAGGGGCACCCUGCCAGCAAUGUUCUGCAGAGGAAAUACUCCUCCCUCCAGAUUUUCUGACUGUCCUUCCCAGUGCAUAAUGGAGGUAAAGGUAAAGUGUGCCGUCGAGUUGGUGUCGACUCCUGGCGACCACAGAGGUGUUUCCCAUCGCUUGGGGUCAAGAAGAAAAGAGUGCAGAUCUGGGUUAAGAAAGGUUCCCUGCAAGGAAGAAAGAAUUGACUCAGAAAUAGAGCAGCACAUUUCACUUUAGUCCUGGGACAGUGAGGGACACAUAAAGCAUAUACAUGCUUUACCUUCUGCAGCUGAAGAUUCAUAUGUUUGCUCUUUAAUAAAUGCUUAAUUUGUGCUUUUGAACCCUUGUAUAGCCUGAUAAUUCUGUCCCUUUUAAUUUUGUGCAAACUGCAUUAAACUA